UUCCCUUCCUCAAACCAGAGAAACCUCCCCCGGAACUCUAAUAGCCACCCCCAAAUUCCGCCGACGGCGAUGGCGGCGCCACCUCCAUUUCCAUCCAAAAUUACACCCCCUUUAUUCUUCUCCUCCUCCUCGUUACCGAUCCACAACCCAUUCCCCUCGAACCCCAACCAAACUCGUCGAAUCUUCAACCAAAGUUUUUCAGCCAAAACUCAACUUUAUCUGUUCACCAUCAAAUUUACACCAUAGGACCUCC
rnacentral:lncRNA from 1 species